rnacentral:rRNA from 1 species
AUGGUGGAAGCUUUAUCUCUCAAGUUUGGUCUAACACCGGCGCAAAGGGCGGGAUGUAAUCGCCUUAUUAUUAACUCGGAUAAUCUGAAGGUGAUUGAUACUAUGCAAGAUGAAGGAGAGUCAGCGGCCGCGGCAGCAGCAAUCUUCGACGAUUGUUUUCAUUAUGCAUGUGAUUUCACUAUUACUAGAUUUGAACAUUGUAAUAGAGAAGCAAAUAAAGUAGCUCAUGAGCUUGCUAAAUUAGCUAGAUUUUCUUUGACUUCUGCCUGGUUUGAUGAACCGUUAAAUUAAAUUGUAAUGAUCCUCACAAACGAUGUACUUUUUAUCUCUAAUGAAUAA